rnacentral:rRNA from 1 species
CAGCAGCCGCGGUAAUACAGAGGGUGUAAGCGUUAAUCGGAUUUACUGGGCGUAAAGGGCGCGUAGGUGGUUAUGUAAGUGAGAUGUGAAAUCCCCGGGCUCAACCUGGGAACUGCAUCUUAUACUGCGUAGCUGGAGUGCAGUAGAGGGUAGUGGAAUUUCCGGUGUAGCGGUGAAAUGCGUAGAUAUCGGAAGGAACACCAGUGGCGAAGGCGGCUACCUGGACUGACACUGACACUGAGGCGCGAAAGCGUGGGGAGCAAACAGGAUUAGAUACCCCAGUAGUCCCUGUCUCUUAUAA